AUGCUGCCAACACCGCUGAAGACAGGGCUGUUCAUGGGGAUCAGUAAGGGGCACGUUGUCACCAAGCUCGAGCUCCCAGCCCGCCCGUCCGAUCGCAAAGGGAAAAUUACCAAGAGGGUCCAUUUUGUUAGGAACUUGAUCAGGGAAGUUGCUGGAUUCGCGCCAUAAGAAAAGCGUGUCACCGAGCUUCUGAAGGUUGGAAAAGAUAAACGUGCACUCAAGGUAGCCAGAAAGCUAGGCACACACAAGAGAGCCAAGAAGAAGUGUGAGGAGAUGUCCGGUGUUCUUAGGAAGAUAAGAGGGGGUGGACUGCAUUGGGCUUGGCGAAAGCAGACGAAAACCCAGAUUCCCUCAGACAGCGACAGCUAA
rnacentral:rRNA from 1 species